rnacentral:rRNA from 1 species
GACGAACCGUGCGAACGUUAUUCGGAAUCACUGGGCUUAAAGCGCGUGUAGGCGGCCCGGCACGUCCGUCGCUGAAAUCCCCCGGCUCAACCGGGGAAGUGGCGUGGAUACGACCGGGCUGGAGGGGGUAGGGGGAGCCGGAACUUCCGGUGGAGCGGUGAAAUGCGUUGAGAUCGGAAGGAACGCCCGUGGCGAAAGCGGGCUCCUGGACCCGACCUGACGCCGAGACGCGAAAGCCAGGGGAGCGA